ACCUACGGGAGGCAGCAGUGGGGAAUAUUGCACAAUGGGGGAAACCCUGAUGCAGCGACGCCGCGUGAGUGAAGAAGUAAUUCGUUGCGUAAAGCUCUAUCAGCAGGGAAGAAAAUGACGGUACCUGAGUAAGAAGCCCCGGCUAACUACGUGCCAGCAGCCGCGGUAAUACGUAGGGGGCAAGCGUUAUCCGGAUUUACUGGGUGUAAAGGGAGCGUAGACGGUACGCCAAGUCUGAAGUGAAAUGCCGCAGCUUAACUGCGGAACUGCUUUGGAAACUGGCGGGCUGGAGUGCGGGAGGGGUA
rnacentral:rRNA from 1 species